rnacentral:rRNA from 1 species
UACGGAGGGUGCAAGCGUUAUCCGGAUUUACUGGGUUUAAAGGGUGCGUAGGCGGGCCUUUAAGUCAGUGGUGAAAGCUCCGAGCUUAACUCGGAAACUGCCAUUAGAUACUAUUGGUCUUGAAUUCGGUCGAGGUUGGCGGAAUGUGUCGUGUAGCGGUGAAAUGCUUAGAUAUGACACAGAACACCGAUUGCGAAGGCAGCUAGCUAGACCGACAUUGACGCUGAGGCACGAAAGCGUGGGGAUCAAACAGG